rnacentral:rRNA from 1 species
UACGAAGGGGGCUAGCGUUGCUCGGAAUCACUGGGCGUAAAGCGCACGUAGGCGGACUCUUAAGUCGGUGGUGAAAUCCUGGAGCUCAACUCCAGAACUGCCCUCGAUACUGAGAGUCUUGAGUCCGGGAGAGGUGAGUGGAACUGCGAGUGUAGAGGUGAAAUUCGUAGAUAUUCGCAAGAACACCAGUGGCGAAGGCGGCUCACUGGCCCGGUACUGACGCUGAGGUGCGAAAGCGUGGGGAGCAAGCAGG